ACACGACUACAUUAGAUACCCCCUGUAGUCCUAGCCGUAAACGAUACUCGCUAGGUGUCGGCCACGGUGCGACCGUUGUCGGUGCCGUAGGGAAGCCGUGAAGCGAGCCACCUGGGAAGUACGGCCGCAAGGCUGAAACUUAAAGGAAUUGGCGGGGGAGCACAACAACGGGUGGAGCUUGCGGUUUAAUUGGAUUCAACGCCGGAGAUCUUACCGGGACCGACAGCAACAUGAAGGCCAAGCUGAAGACUUUGCCGGAUUAGCUG
rnacentral:rRNA from 1 species